rnacentral:rRNA from 1 species
UACAGAGGGUGCAAGCGUUAAUCGGAAUUACUGGGCGUAAAGCGCGCGUAGGUGGUUUGUUAAGUUGAAUGUGAAAUCCCCGGGCUCAACCUGGGAAUGGCCGUUGAAACUGGCGAACUGGAGUGUGGCAGAGGGGGGGUGGAAUUCCGCGUGUAGCAGUGAAAUGCGUAGAGAUGCGGAGGAACACCGAUGGCGAAGGCAGCCCCCCUGGGCUGACACUGACGCUCAGGCACGAAAGCGUGGGGAGCAAACAGG